CGCGUAGGCGGAUGUUUAAGUCAGAGGUGAAAGCCCAGGGCUCAACCUUGGAACUGCCUUUGAUACUGGACAUCUUGAGUAUGGGAGAGGUGAGUGGAACUCCGAGUGUAGAGGUGAAAUUCGUAGAUAUUCGGAAGAACACCAGUGGCGAAGGCGACUCACUGGCCCAUUACUGACGCUGAGGCGCGAAAGCGUGGGAGCAAACA
rnacentral:rRNA from 1 species